AAAUUUAUGGGACAUGAUCACAGCAAGAUGGGCCAAGAUACAUUCUUUUUUUUUUUUUUAAGUUUUAUUUAUUUAUUUUGAGAGAGAGAGAGCACACACACAAGCAGGAGAGGGGCAGAGAGAGAGAGAGAGAGAGAGAGAGAGGAAAAGAGAGAAUCCCAAGCAGGCUCCUCACUGUCAGUGUGGAGCUUGACUCAGAGGUCGAACUCACCACAAACCAUGAGAUUAUGACCUGAUCCAAAACCAAGAGUUGGACACUUAACUGAGCCACCAAGGUGCCCCCCAAGAUAUAUUCUUAUUUUAUGCAUAGUCUUCCACAUUAUAUGCUUGAUAUAUGGACAUGUUGUUGUUCAUUGAUGAGCAUCUUUUGUUGUUCAUACAGCCCUCCUUCACUUAACCAGUCCACUGGGAAGGUAGAUUAGAAGUCCUCCAUUGGUAGAAAGGGGGUGAUACUGCUGCAUUUUUUGUUUGUUUUGCGGUAGAUUUUUUUGGUUCUGUUUUAAGAGCUUUCCUUGGACUGUAAAUUCCACAAGGACAGGGACUGUGUGUUCCAUGUAUGUCUGUAUACCUAAUGCACAGCAUCUGGCGCACAUUGGCCAUGUCUCCAUCACGAACACUAUUAUUCUGUUAAUGUGUGUUCGGAUCAUAUACUUUUUUUGUUUUGGUUUUUGAAAGUCAUCCUCAUGCUGUUAACUCUGAUGUUUGAAGACCUGUGACAGUCCAGGAAGCCGAGCAGGUGAAUUUUGUGGUUGCUUUAUUGUGGUUACUUCUUUGCGCCAUCUCUUUCUUUUUUGUGCUUCUGGCAUCUGUGCCGCCUUGAAAGAGGGAGCCAGUCACGAAGCCAGUACUCUGCCCUCUCAGUGGGAGGUUUUCGUGUGACACAUCAUCUUGGGAGAAAUGUAGCAUGGGGUGUGAAACAGGAGGCUGAAAAAGCACUCCUUUAGCCUUUUUGUGGGAUGGGAGUAAAUGUUUAGACACUGCUCUCAGGUGCUACAGAAAUUAAUAAUAACCUUGCAGCAGUUUUAGAAGCUCUUCUUAUACCCACUGGAACAGGUUUACUUAAUUUGGAGAACCCUGCUUUAGCUGUUUUGAAGCUGCGAUUUUUUUUCCUAGAGGCCUGCCCUGGGUUCCUCUACACACUGUUCCUUUUGCAGGAUCUUUCUGUCCACACCGUUGACAUUUGCCUCACCCCAUUGCCCCACACUUUCUGACCCGUAUCUCAUUAUGCCCAAUUCUGAAACAUCGAGUUUUGAAACAUGGUAGUGAGUGUUUUCUUUUUGAAAGGGCAAAUCUCUACCUUUUGCUCUCCUCCCUUAAGCCAGGACUGUUUAGAUGACUAACAUUCACCUUGCCACUGGACUGUCUGUACUUUGAUCCCAGAAUUCAUUUCUAGUAUGCUGUUUGUUUGAAAAUGAAAUUUCUCUAGCUUGUUUGGAUACAACUGUGAUUCAGUUAAACUGGACCUGAUUUUCCAUCUGUUUGCCAUUGGUUGGGGAUCCAGUGAUGUGUUAGGAAAGCUGCUGCACACCGUUGCAGAGAGAAGGCCAUGUGUCAUGGUCUUACACAAGGGUUUGUUUGUUGACUCAGAUUUUGUGUAAAGCCUCCUUCUGGGUGAAAGGCACGAGCUUCCCUUCAAAUAAUGGAAAGGCAUAUUCUGCCUGGCCACUUGUUCUGGAGCCCUGGUAUGUUCCACUCUUCUCCACUUUUGGGCUUCUUUUGAGGAAGAGGAAUGUGGGUAGGAAGAGGUGUGAAUAAGCCUUCACACACAAUCUCAGUUGUUGGGCAUCCCAGUAGCAGAGAGUGAAUUGUAUGUUGUAAUAGAAAAGAACAUCUAAAGAACAGGGUAUCAAUUUAGCAACCAUUAUUGAGCAUCUAUGUGUAACACACUUUUGGGGGUAUAGAAAGAUGAUUCUGGCUCCAGCCCAGCUGGUGAUUUCUUCUAUGAAGUUGGGUAAAUGACUUGACCUCUCUGGGUCUUGGUUUCUCCAUCUGUGCUUGGACUAGACAAUCCUUAUGGUUCUUUCUGUACUUAACGUUUAUCUGUUUGUUACAGAACAAGAGAGAAGGCUUUUUCACAGAAUUGAUAUGUUCUUAAAUCUCACGUGCUUCAGACUGAAUGGCCUAGAAAUAAUUCCUGUAGAGAAGAACUUCUCAAUAUCAGCCCUAUUGAUAUUUUGGCUACUUCUUUGUUGAGAGAUUGUCCUGUGCCUUGUAGGAUGUUUACCAGCUUCCCUGGCCUUGCCCACUAGAUGCCAGUCAUGACAGUCCCCACCCCCUGCCAAUCGUGACAACUAAAAAUGUCUCCAGACAUUGACAUUGCCUCUUGGGGGGAAGUUGCUACAGUUGAGAAGCACUGCUCUGAGGGCAAAGAGUGGUACUGUUUGAAUGUGGGCUAUUCUUUCUUUUUUUUUAAUUUUAUUUUUUAUUUUUUAAAAUUUACAUCUAAAUUAGCAUACAGUGCAACAAUGAUUUCAGGAGUAGAUUCCUUAGUGCCCCUUACCCAUUUAGCCCAUCCCCCCUCCCCCAACCCCUCCAGUCACCCUCAGUUCUCCAUAUUUAUGAGUCUCUUCUGUUUUGUCCCCCUCCCUGUUUUUAUAUUAUUUUUGUUUCCCUUCCCUUACGUUCAUCUGUUUUGUCUUUUAAAGUCCUCAUAUGAGUGAAGGCAUAUGAGUUUUGUCUUUCUCUGACUAAUUUCACUUAGCAUAAUACCCUCCAGUUCCAUCCACGUAGUUGCAAAUGGCAAGAUUUCAUUCUUUUUGAUUGCCGAGUAAUACUCCAUUGUAUGUGUGUGUGUGUGUGUGUGUGUGUGUGUGUGUGUGUGUGUGUAUAUAUAUAUAUAUAUAUAUAUGUAUAUAACACAUUUUCUUUAUCCAUUUAUCCAUCCAUGGACAUUUGGGCUCUUUCCAUACUUUGGCUAUUGUUGAUAGUGCUGCUAUAAACAUGGGGGUGCAUGUGUCCCUUUGAAACAGCACACCUAUAUCCCGUGGAUAAAUGCCUAGUAGUGCAAUUGCUGGGUCAUAGGGUAGUUCUAUUUUUAGUUUUUUUGAGGAACCUCCAUAUUGUUUUCCAGAGUGGCUGCACCAGCUUGCAUUCCCACCAACAAUGCAAAAGAGAUCCUCUUUCUUUGCAUCCUCGUCAACAUCUGUAGUUGCCUGAGUUGUUAAUGUUAGCCAUUCUGACAGGUGUGAGGUGGUAUCUCAUUGUGGUUUUGAUUUGUAUUUCCCUGAUGAUGAGUGAUGUUGAGUAUUUUUUCAUGUGCCGGUUGGCCAUCUGGAUGUCUUCUUUGGAGAAGCGUCUAUUCUUGUCUUUUGCCCAUUUCUUCACUGGAUUAUUUGUUUUUUGGGUGUUGAGUUUAGGAAGUUCUUUAUAGAUUUUGGAUACUAACCCUUUAUCUGAUAUGUCGUUUGCAAAUAUCUUCUCCCAUUCUGUCGGUUGCCUUUUAGUUUUGCUGAUUGUUUCCUUCACUGUGCAGAAGCUUUUUAUUUUGAGGAGGUCCCAGUAGUUCAUUGAAUGUGGGCUAUUCUUAAUAUUAUUUUCAUUUUGUUCCUCUUCUGCUUAUUACCUAUCCUGGGGGUGGUGAAUGAAGAGCAACCUCAUUGGUCAAGAGCUAUAUCACUCUUCUUUAGAUACUAAAGAAAUUCUUCCAAAGAAGAAGAAAUAUGCAUUUCCCAGCCAGUGGGCUCGGUUUGGAUCUUCAGAAUUAUUUUUAGGAUAUGAGUAGAUACUGGUUGUUGCAAAGAGGAAGUUAAGGCUUUAACCUGAAACAACCUAAAAAAUGUAAAGAA